rnacentral:rRNA from 1 species
UACGUAGGGGGCGAGCGUUGUCCGGAGUUACUGGGCGUAAAGGGCGUGCAGGCGGUGCAGUAGGUUUAGAGUGACAGUUCCCGGCUCAACUGGGGAAGGCCUCUGAAAACUGCUGGACUUGAGGGCCAGAGAGGGACAUAGAAUUCCGGGUGGAGUGGUGAAAUGCGUAGAUAUCCGGAGGAAUACCAAAGGCGAAGGCAGUGUCCUGGCUGGCAUCUGACGCUGAGGCGCGAAAGCUAGGGGAGCGAACAGG